GUGCGUGCUUCCUGCGCAAGGACUUUCUGUCCGAUCGAAUAUGCUCCUACAGACGCAACUUGGGUUGCCAGACUACAAAAUCUGCUUAACCAAUAUCUUUUAAAUACGACGUUUAGUAAAAAGUUUUAGACGAACUUGGCUUUAAAACAACUUCAUUCUAAGUCAAAAUGAUAAACAAGAUCUUGGCUCUGUUCUUGAUGUUUGCUGUUGCUUUAAUGAUGAUCUCCAACGCACAGGACGAAUCAGGCUGCAUUCCGGAAUGUGAACAGUUUCAAAAAUGCAUUAAAGGAAGUUGUCUACCAUUGAGUUGGAGUGAUGAAGAAGAGGCACCAUUAUGAAAAGAAGAUCAAUAUUAUCGAAUAUUAUAAUCAAAGAUCAACAUAUUAAGUGUUUAUAAACGGGUUAUAAUGAAUAAAUGCAACUUGAGAACUUA